CUACGGGAGGCACCAGUGGGGAAUAUUGCACAAUGGGCGCAAGCCUGAUGCAGCCAUGCCGCGUGUAUGAAGAAGGCCUUCGGGUUGUAAAGUACUUUCAGCGGGGAGGAAGGGAGUAAAGUUAAUAUCUUUGCUCAUUGACGUUACCCGCAGAAGAAGCACCGGCUAACUCCGUGCCAGCAGCCGCGGUAAUACGGAGGGUGCAAGCGUUAAUCGGAAUUACUGGGCGUAAAGCGCACGCAGGCGGUUUGUUAAGUCAGAUGUGAAAUCCCCGGGCUCAACCUGGGAACUGCAUCUGAUACUGGCAAGCUUGAGUCUCGUAGAGGGGGGUAGAAUUCCAGGUGUAGCGGUGAAAUGCGUAGAGAUCUGGAGGAAUACCGGUGGCGAAGGCGACCCCCUGGACGAAGACUGACGCUCAGGUGCGAAAGCGUGGGGAGCAAACAGGAUUAGAUACCCUUGUAGUC
rnacentral:rRNA from 1 species